UUUGGUUAAGUUAGAAAGGGCGCACGGUGGAUGCCUUGACACUAGGAGUCGAUGAAGGACGGGACUAACGCCGAUAUGCUUCGGGGAGCUGUAAGUAAGCUUUGAUCCGAAGAUUUCCGAAUGGGGAAACCCACCAUACGUAAUGGUAUGGUAUCCUUAUCUGAAUACAUAGGGUAAGGAAGACAGACCCAGGGAACUGAAACAUCUAAGUACCUGGAGGAAGAGAAAGCAAAUGCGAUUUCCUGAGUAGCGGCGAGCGAAACGGAACAUAGCCCAAACCAAGAGGCUUGCCUCUUGGGGUUGUAGGACAUUCUAUACGGAGUUACAAAGGAACGAGGUAGACGAAGCGACCUGGAAAGGUCCGUCGUAGAGGGUAACAACCCCGUAGUCGAAACUUCGUUCUCUCUUGAAUGUAUCCUGAGUACGGCGGAACACGUGAAAUUCCGUCGGAAUCUGGGAGGACCAUCUCCCAAGGCUAAAUACUCCCUAGUGAUCGAUAGUGAACCAGUACCGUGAGGGAAAGGUGAAAAGCACCCCGGAAGGGGAGUGAAAGAGAUCCUGAAACCGUGUGCCUACAAAUAGUCAGAGCCCGUUAACGGGUGAUGGCGUGCCUUUUGUAGAAUGAACCGGCGAGUUACGAUCCCGUGCGAGGUUAAGCUGAAGAGGCGGAGCCGCAGCGAAAGCGAGUCUGAAUAGGGCGUUUAGUACGUGGUCGUAGACCCGAAACCAGGUGAUCUACCCAUGUCCAGGGUGAAGUUCAGGUAACACUGAAUGGAGGCCCGAACCCACGCACGUUGAAAAGUGCGGGGAUGAGGUGUGGGUAGCGGAGAAAUUCCAAUCGAACCUGGAGAUAGCUGGUUCUCCCCGAAAUAGCUUUAGGGCUAGCCUUAAGUGUAAGAGUCUUGGAGGUAGAGCACUGAUUGGACUAGGGGUCCUCAUCGGAUUACCGAAUUCAGUCAAACUCCGAAUGCCAAUGACUUAUCCUUAGGAGUCAGACUGCGAGUGAUAAGAUCCGUAGUCAAAAGGGAAACAGCCCAGACCGCCAGCUAAGGUCCCAAAGUGUGUAUUAAGUGGAAAAGGAUGUGGAGUUGCUUAGACAACUAGGAUGUUGGCUUAGAAGCAGCCACCAUUUUAAAGAGUGCGUAAUAGCUCACUAGUCGAGUGACUCUGCGCCGAAAAUGUACCGGGGCUAAAUACACCACCGAAGCUGCGGAUUGAUACCGAAUGGUAUCAGUGGUAGGGGAGCGUUCUAAGGACAGUGAAGUCAGACCGGAAGGACUGGUGGAGUGCUUAGAAGUGAGAAUGCCGGUAUGAGUAGCGAAAGACGGGUGAGAAUCCCGUCCACCGAAUGCCUAAGGUUUCCUGAGGAAGGCUCGUCCGCUCAGGGUUAGUCAGGACCUAAGCCGAGGCCGACAGGCGUAGGCGAUGGACAACAGGUUGAUAUUCCUGUACCACCUCUUUAUCGUUUGAGCAAUGGAGGGACGCAGAAGGAUAGAAGAAGCGUGCGAUUGGUUGUGCACGUCCAAGCAGUUAGGCUGAUAAGUAGGCAAAUCCGCUUAUCGUGAAGGCUGAGCUGUGAUGGGGAAGCUCCUUAUGGAGCGAAGUCUUUGAUUCCCCGCUGCCAAGAAAAGCUUCUAGCGAGAUAAAAGGUGCCUGUACCGCAAACCGACACAGGUAGGCGAGGAGAGAAUCCUAAGGUGUGCGAGAGAACUCUGGUUAAGGAACUCGGCAAAAUGACCCCGUAACUUCGGGAGAAGGGGUGCUUUCUUAACGGAAAGCCGCAGUGAAUAGGCCCAAGCGACUGUUUAGCAAAAACACAGCUCUCUGCGAAGCCGUAAGGCGAAGUAUAGGGGGUGACACCUGCCCGGUGCUGGAAGGUUAAGGAGAGGGGUUAGCGUAAGCGAAGCUCUGAACUGAAGCCCCAGUAAACGGCGGCCGUAACUAUAACGGUCCUAAGGUAGCGAAAUUCCUUGUCGGGUAAGUUCCGACCCGCACGAAAGGUGUAACGAUUUGGGCACUGUCUCAACCAGAGACUCGGUGAAAUUAUAGUACCUGUGAAGAUGCAGGUUACCCGCGACAGGACGGAAAGACCCCGUGGAGCUUUACUGUAGCCUGAUAUUGAAUUUUGGUACAGUUUGUACAGGAUAGGCGGGAGCCAUUGAAACCGGAGCGCUAGCUUCGGUGGAGGCGCUGGUGGGAUACCGCCCUGACUGUAUUGAAAUUCUAACCUACGGGUCUUAUCGACCCGGGAGACAGUGUCAGGUGGGCAGUUUGACUGGGGCGGUCGCCUCCUAAAGUGUAACGGAGGCGCCCAAAGGUUCCCUCAGAAUGGUUGGAAAUCAUUCGUAGAGUGCAAAGGCAUAAGGGAGCUUGACUGCGAGACCUACAAGUCGAGCAGGGACGAAAGUCGGGCUUAGUGAUCCGGUGGUUCCGCAUGGAAGGGCCAUCGCUCAACGGAUAAAAGCUACCCCGGGGAUAACAGGCUUAUCUCCCCCAAGAGUCCACAUCGACGGGGAGGUUUGGCACCUCGAUGUCGGCUCAUCGCAUCCUGGGGCUGUAGUCGGUCCCAAGGGUUGGGCUGUUCGCCCAUUAAAGCGGUACGCGAGCUGGGUUCAGAACGUCGUGAGACAGUUCGGUCCCUAUCCGUCGUGGGCGUAGGAAAUUUGAGAGGAGCUGUCCUUAGUACGAGAGGACCGGGAUGGACGCACCGCUGGUGUACCAGUUGUUCUGCCAAGGGCAUAGCUGGGUAGCUAUGUGCGGAAGGGAUAAGUGCUGAAAGCAUCUAAGCAUGAAGCCCCCCUCAAGAUGAGAUUUCCCAUAGCGUAAGCUAGUAAGAUCCCUGAAAGAUGAUCAGGUUGAUAGGUUCGAGGUGGAAGCAUGGUGACAUGUGGAGCUGACGAAUACUAAUAGAUCGAGGACUUAACCAUAUAA
rnacentral:rRNA from 1 species